GACGGAGGGAGCUAGCGUUGUUCGGAAUGACUGGGCGUAAAGGGCGCGUAGGCGGUUUUUUAAGUGAGGCGUGAAAGCCCUGGGCUUAACCCAGGAGGUGCGCUUCAGACUGGAAAGCUUGAGGACGAGAGAGGAAAGUGGAAUUCCUAGUGUAGAGGUGAAAUUCGUAGAUAUUAGGAAGAACACCAGUGGCGAAGGCGACUUUCUGGCUCGUAACUGACGCUGAGGCGCGAAAGCGUGGGGAGCAAACAGG
rnacentral:rRNA from 1 species